ensembl:lncRNA
GGUGUGUUCUGCCGAAUGUUCAGCAGUUCAUCCCUGGUGAAACUGACCGUGUUUGUUAAACAAAAACAGGAAAAACAAACAAAAACAGUACAAACACUGGAGAGCCAAGCACUGAUGCAGCCGUGUGCGGUGCCAUCGAGAGCUAAUUGCUAAGACACAGCAAAGGAAACCAUCAGUAUGUUCAAACAUUCUUCCUCAGUGGUCAUUAUGUACAAUUAAUAUAUUGGGUUCAAAAGACAAAUUCAAAAAUGCAACUGGGAUCCAUUUUCAAAGUUCAAUUGUACAUGGUUAUUUCUACAGUGUUUAGUUCAGUACAAUGUAAAGAAAUACAUAACAACAACUGUACAGUUGUUGUACAAACUGUAUUUUGUAUUGUUUUGAAACAAUUAUGUUUUAUAGUGCUGGUUUCCACCGGUAUUACUGUAAUUUUGUCUGGACUCAUGGGACUCAUCUGUCUGUGCCGGUUUGCAUGUAAAAAAAGAAGAAAACCCAUUAAAAUGAGAUCAAUAAAAACAGAUGUGCCCAUUCAAGAAACUGGUAUAAGUUGUUCUGGAUCUGCAGAGAUGUAUUCUCUGAUCACUUCUGUACCAGAAACAUCUCAGCCCAUAUCUGCAGGCCUCGAACACCCAGAAUCACAUCUGGACAGUACAGCAGAUCCCACAAAACACAUUAUGUCUGUAAAUGUAAUUUACCAGCCCUCAGGUAAGGAAAUGUUUCUUUGUCAUAUCAUGAUGAGGAUUUGAAUCUCUCUCUUUCUUUUCACUUAAGAGUUAUAUAUAUAUAUGACUACUAUAAAAACCACUGUGGUUUCGCAACUCGAAACUUCCUCACUAGCACAAAAGCUACAAGCCCACAUUUAUGUUCUAAAAAACCUAGCUGCCCAAACACAGUGUGCUAUGGAGGAAGUGGGGUAUAUAUUAAAUUCAUCACAACACUGUUGCACAGAAUGAGUCUGAGAAGAGAUGAUUCUGCUGUGCAAAGUGUCAAAGUUUGAAAUAUACAUGGUAAAGUUAAUGAUAGAGACCUUGUUCAUCUAGGCCAACACAUAUUUGUUAAAUGGAUAUGACUGGUUUAAAUGGUUCUGCAUUGCAUUACAGAUGUUUUGAUCAAUAAACAACAGAAACAGGGAAAUCCA